GGUGAACGCUGGCGGUAGGCCUAACACAUGCAAGUCGAACGGCAGCACAGUAAGAGCUUGCUCUUACGGGUGGCGAGUGGCGGACGGGUGAGGAAUACAUCGGAAUCUACUUUUUCGUGGGGGAUAACGUAGGGAAACUUACGCUAAUACCGCAUACGACCUACGGGUGAAAGCAGGGGAUCUUCGGACCUUGCGCGAUUGAAUGAGCCGAUGUCGGAUUAGCUAGUUGGCGGGGUAAAGGCCCACCAAGGCGACGAUCCGUAGCUGGUCUGAGAGGAUGAUCAGCCACACUGGAGCUGAGACACGGUCCAGACUCCUACGGGAGGCAGCAGUGGGGAAUAUUGGACAAUGGGCGCAAGCCUGAUCCAGCCAUACCGCGUGGGUGAAGAAGGCCUUCGGGUUGUAAAGCCCUUUUGUUGGGAAAGAAAAGCAGCAGGUUAAUACCCCGCUGUUCUGACGGUACCCAAAGAAUAAGCACCGGCUAACUUCGUG
rnacentral:rRNA from 1 species